AUUGAACGCUGGCGGCAGGCCUAACACAUGCAAGUCGAACGAGUGGCGGACGGGUGAGUAAUGUCUGGGAAACUGCCUGAUGGAGGGGGAUAACUACUGGAAACGGUAGCUAAUACCGCAUACCAUCAGACGUGCCCAGAUGGGAUUAGCUAGUUGGUGGGGUAAAGGCCUACCAAGGCGACGAUCCGGAACUGGUCUGAGAGGAUGAGCAGUCACCCUGUAACUGAUACACGGUCCAGACUCCUACGGGAUGCAGCAGUGGGGAAUAUUUGACAAUGGGCGAAAGCCUGAUCCAGCCAUGCCGCGUGUGUGAAGAAGGUCUUCGGAUUGUAAAGCACUUUAAGUUGGGAGGCGUUACCAACAGAAUAAGCACCGGCUAACUCCGUGCCAGCAGCCGCGGUAAUAC
rnacentral:rRNA from 1 species